CUUCCUACGCGGGUUGGGAUCAUUUGCAGUGCUCUAUGUAUGGUAUCGCACUCGUCCCGGCCCGUCGAGGGUCC
rnacentral:pre_miRNA from 1 species